GAUGAACGCUGGCGGCGUGCCUAAUACAUGCAAGUCGAACGCUGGAGAUCUAGCUUGCUAGAUCGAAGGAGUGGCGAACGGGUGAGUAAUACAUAAGCAACCUACCCACGAAGACUGGGAUAAUCUCUGGAAACGGGGACUAAUACCGGAUAGGUAAUCGGAAGGCAUCUUCUGGUUAUUAAAGGUUAAAAACACUGGUGGAUGGGCUUAUGGCGCAUUAGUUAGUUGGUGAGGUAACGGCACACCAAGACGAUGAUGCGUAGCCGGCCUGAGAGGGUGAACGGCCACAUUGGGACUGCGACACGGCCCAGACUCCUACGGGAGGCAGCAGUAGGGAAUUUUCGGCAAGGGGGGCUACCCUGACCGAGCCACGCCGCGUGAGUGAAGACGGCCUUCGGGUUGUAAAGCUCUGUUGUAAGGGAAGAACGGUAGAUAGAGAAUAUCUAAGUGACGGUACCUUACCAGAAAGCCACGGCUAACUACGUG
rnacentral:rRNA from 1 species